rnacentral:rRNA from 1 species
UACGUAGGUGGCAAGCGUUGUCCGGAUUUAUUGGGUUUAAAGGGUGCGUAGGCGGUCUAUUAAGUCAGUGCUGAAAUAUCCCGGCUUAACCGGGAGGGUGGCAUUGAUACUGAUGGACUUGAGUAAAGUUGAGGUUGGCGGAAUUGACGGUGUAGCGGUGAAAUGCUUAGAUAUCUGGAGGAACACCGGUGGCGAAGGCGGCAUCCUGGACCAACACUGACGCUGAGUGAGCGAAAGCCAGGGGAGCAAACGGG